rnacentral:lncRNA from 1 species
GAAGGGUGGGAUGAGAUGAGUGGUUGUGAGUGACAGGGAAUUUCCUCUGCAUGUAAAGUCCUGACUGAAAUAGCACCAUUACUGUGUUCACAUGUAGUACUCUUUUAAAUACUAUUUAUAUUGUACAAAACAAAUUGUGUUUCCUCACCCCAUACUCAGAUGAUGAGUUACGUUUAAACGUGAAUCUGGAUCUGUGGAAUGCCCUUCCUCAUUGCAGGGGUUCUCCCUUUUUGUUCAUUUUUAAAUCUCUUUUUGAUUUAGGAAUGACUUGUGUGCAGAUUAUCUCUAAUGGCUGUGUUGAUGGCCUCUGUGCAUCAGACUAUUGAAAAGGAAAUAGGAAACGCACAGUCCUACCCUCCCAUUCCUUCAGUGAAAUAUAUUUGUAAGUGUCUGAUGAUGUGCUAUAAAAAUGCUGACUUUUUUCCUAGAUUAAGGAUGUGAUGUAUUUUUUUGCCUUUUUUUUUUUUAAAGUCUCUGCCUCUAGGUUCAUAAUGAAUUAAAGGCUCUUGAGCACCUGAGAAUUACAAUUGUUGGGGGGUUGAAGUCUCUUCAUUUCUAAGUUUAAUGUGGCUCGUACUGCAGGAGAAGAAAGCUCUGCAUCUGAUUGGGUACCUGAGGCCAGACAUGCCAAGACUGUUAAGCAGGAACAUGGAGAAGAUUAAAAGACUGUAGAAACAGCAAUGUUGAUUGUGCUGAGACCGUUAUCUUCUGGCUGCUGCUGAGACUGAGGGGACAGCCCUGACUUCCCAAACUGAUGGAUUCCAUCUGUAACAUGAUGGAAAGCACAACAAUGGCAGCAGAGCAGCAAGAUCCCAGGCUGCAGCAAGUGAGGAUUCACUCAAAUGUGACAGCAGUGGGCACAGAAAUAAGGAAAAGAAGCCGCUUACCUUCAGAAAGCCUCAGAUUAAUGAAACAAGCCCUGUACCUGCGUUCAUCUCUGUGAAGUUUAAACCACUUCUGCUUCAUAGUACCUAAUAGAGGUGAUACCUGCUGGUGCUCCUUUGGCCAUUAGUGCCUAUGUUGCCAAUGAGAAUUUCAUGUGAGAAAAGACUGAAAAAGCUUCUUGAGGCCCUAUUGGAAGCGCUCAAAACGUGUUCUUGUGGAUACCCAAUUUCCAGCCCCAUGUUCAGGUCAUCUCUCUGGAUUCUCUUCCCGUUGAAAACAGUGCUGGCAUACACACACACACACACACACAAAAGCAAACCAAGAAAACAAAACAAACGAGGUUUGGCAAGGGGCCAAGACUGAAAUGAGUUG